rnacentral:rRNA from 1 species
CGCGCCUAACACAUGCAAGUCGAACGGAGCAUACGGGAGGAAGUUUUCGGAUGGAAUCCGGUAUUGCUUAGUGGCGGACGGGUGAGUAACACGUGAGCAACCUGCCUAUCAGAGGGGGAUAACGAUUGGAAACGAUCGCUAAUACCGCAUGACACAUCGAUGGGGCAUCCCGUUGAUGUCAAAGAUUUAUCGCUGAAAGAUGGCCUCGCGUCUGAUUAGAUAGUUGGCGGGGUAACGGCCCACCAAGCCGACGAUCAGUAGCCGGUCUGAGAGGAUGAACGGCCACACUGGAACUGAGACACGGUCCAGACUCCUACGGGAGGCAGCAGUGGGGAAUCUUCCGCAAUGGGCGAAAGCCUGACGGAGCAACGCCGCGUGAGUGAUGACGGCCUUCGGGUUGUAAAGCUCUGUGAUCGGGGACGAACGGUCAGCAUACGAAUACUCUGCUGAAUUGACGGUACCCGAAUAGCAAGCCACGGCUAACUACGUG